rnacentral:sRNA from 1 species
GCAGCUGUUGCUGCUGCUGCUGCGAUUGCUGCUGCUGCUGUUGCAAUUGUAGUUGCUGCUGCUGUUGCUGCUGCUGCUGCUGCUGC